UACGGAGGGUGCAAGCAUUGAUCGGAUUUACUGGGCGUAAAGGGCGCGUAGGCGGCCACCGCAAGUCGGUUGUGAAAUCUCUGGGCUUAACCCAGAAAGGUCAACCGAUACUGCGGGGCUAGAGUGCAGAAGGGGCAACUGGAAUUCUCGGUGUAGCGGUGAAAUGCGUAGAUAUUGGGAAGAACACCAGUGGCGAAAGCGGACUUCUGGGUUGUUACUGACGCUGAGGUACGAAAGCGUGGGGAUCAAACAGG
rnacentral:rRNA from 1 species